CGAAAACUUUACAAUGCUGGAAACAGCGAUAAGGGGACCUCGAGUGCCAGGUUACAAAUCUGGCUGUCGUGAUGCCUAAAAAGCAUUGCAUAGCAAGGGCCGGGCAAGACCGGUGCCAGCCGCCGCGGUAACACCGGCGGCUCGAGUGGUAACCGUUAUUAUUGGGUCUAAAGGGUCUGUAGCCGGCCGGAUAAGUCUCUUGGGAAAUCUGGCAGCUUAACUGUCAGGCUUUCAGGGGAUACUGUCUGGCUCGAGGCCGGGAGAGGUGAGAGGUACUUCAGGGGUAGGGGUGAAAUCUUGUAAUCCUUGAAGGACCACCAGUGGCGAAGGCGUCUCACCAGAACGGACCUGACGGCAAGGGACGAAAGCUAGGGGCACGAACCGGAUUAGAUACCCGGGUAGUCCUAGCCGUAAACGAUACUCGCUAGGUGUCGGCCACGGUGCGACCGUUGUCGGUGCCGUAGGGAAGCCGUGAAGCGAGCCACCUGGGAAGUACGGCCGCAAGGCUGAAACUUAAAGGAAUUGGCGGGGGAGCAC
rnacentral:rRNA from 1 species